CGGCCGACGAAGCGGACGCGUCGCUAAAGAUCACACCUUGUAUAUAUAUAUGUGUAUAUGUGUGUGAACAUAUAGUAUAUGGUAAAGAAAAGCAGUUAAAAAAGUUAAGAAAGCGAUCAAAGAACGGUCAACUCUCUCACGCGCUCUCCCUCUCUCCGUCGCUGGAUUUCUUUGCGCCUGCGCAACGGUCAUUCUUCGUCUUUCCUCUCUUCGCACUCUCUCGCAAAAGUGAAAAUAUUUGGAGAAAUUUCUUGGGGGCAACCAAAGAAGAAGAAGCAGCAGCAACAGAAGAAGCAGAAUUUCGGUCUCGAGUUUUUUAGUGUGUCAGGAGUGGGCAUAGUUAUCGUUUUUUUCAACGCGAUCGAACGGCCCGCAAAAACAACGCAAGUGUCAAAAGUUCCGCAAAACCGGAAACCAUAACAAACGAAUUCGCAAGUCGCCCAAUGUCAAUGACCUAAAUUCGGGGCUUUUCGGAAAAACAAAGUGGGAAAAAUCAAAUCCAGUCAAUGCAAACACGAAUUGCGGCUGCAGCAUCUUCAGCGACUUCGAUUAGAGCCAAUAGCAUCGGCUUUGUGUUUGCCUGACAUUUCAGAAGAGCACUAAACCUCGGAAGUUGUAAGAAAUCGGUCUUGUUCACCCCCACCCAACCCACAGGAUACACCUGCUGAA